UACGUAGGUGGCAAGCGUUGUCCGGAUUUACUGGGCGUAAAGAGCGCGCAGGCGGCCAAGUCAGUCGAAUGUGAAAGCCCCCGGCUCAACUGGGGAGGUCAUUCGAUACUGCUCGGCUCGAAGACAGGAGAGGGAAGUGGAAUUCCCGGUGUCAGUGGUGAAAUGCGUAGAUAUCGGGAGGAACACCAGUGGCGAAGGCGACUUUCUGGCCUGUUCUUGACGCUGAGGCGCGAAAGCUAGGGGAGCAAACGGG
rnacentral:rRNA from 1 species